rnacentral:tRNA from 1 species
GGAUCGUUAGCUCAGUUGGUAGCAGCGACUCCCUGUUAAGGAGAAGGUCGUAGGUUCGAACCCUACACGAUCCG